CUCUAGCCAGCUAAACAGCCAAAUUAUCCACCAUGCAGGGCCAAAAAAAGAGAUGCAUGGUUUUUUGUGACGCAGAUUGCGCACACCAGUGCUUCGCUGUUCGAGGCCAGUACUGGCGAUUUAUGAUCAUUUUAUUUGUCCCUGUUGCACACUGUUGGAUGGUGUUAGAAACCAGUUUUUGAACCAUAAACUAACUGGUCGAUUUUCUUUUUUCUGUCCAUACAUUGUAGUCUGGUUAAUUCCGAUAACGAAGGAGACUCUAGCCGGCGUUGCUUUCUUACUAGCGUGCGGCGAGAGAUGGCGGGACAGGUGUUCGAAUUUGCGGACGACGAUCACGUUCUGCAGUACAAGCUGGCCGCGCCCAUCGGAAGCGGCAGUUUUGGGCAGGUGUGGGAGGCCAGCCAGUGGAGCGACGGCCGCUCCACCCACCGCGCGGUGGCCGUGAAAAUCACGGAGCACAUCCUGGACACCGGCACGGAUAAGGCGCAAUUGCGGCGGGACAUUGAGGAUAAAUUGCGCCGGAUACGCAGCAUCCGCAGCGACAACGUUAUCACGUAUUAUCACGCUCGCGUCGACGAUGCGUACGGUCUACUGGAUCCGAUUCUGCAGACCAUCAUCGUCAUGGAAUACUGCACCUUUGGGACGCUGGACACGGUAAUCCGCAGCGCACCGCUCCCCAACGACGAGAUUAAGGACCUCCUCCAGCAGAUCCUGACCGGCGUGGUGGCCAUCCACGCCCACAAGAUCAUCCACGGCGACCUGAAGCCGGCCAACAUUGUUCUGGCCCACGACACCAGCGCCCCUUCCACCGGCGCGCUAAACUCACCGACCUGGACGACCACCUCGCCCUGCUGACCUCCACGACGUCGGCGCAGGACCUCCAGACCCGCGGGAACUUCCGCUACAUGCCGCCGGAGGUCCUGGUCGGCGGGCGGAAAGGUCAUCCCGUCGGCCGGAAGAGCGACAUGUGGAGCGUCGGCUGCAUUCUCGUCGACAUGUUCCGCCACGGGGAGCCGGUGCGGUUCGUUAAACUGGUGGAAGGGAAGGACAUCCCGGUGGACGCGCUGACGGUGGGCGAGGGGGUGGGGCUGCCGGUGCUGAUGCAGUAUGUCGUGGAGGGCGGGACGCCGGAGAUCCCGUAUCAGGCGCCGGAUGCCGCGCGGCAGCUGCUGAGACGGUGUUUCAGGAUGAACCCGAAGGAACGCAUUAGUGCGGCCGAUAUGCUGCAUAGUCAGUGGUUCCAACAGGAUGACUCUAUUCCCCUAAACGUGCCGGAGACCCUCCAAGAUCCGCGCCAUGUGGAGAACAGCCGGGAAUUCCUGCUGAACAACGGCGAGGACAUUCCCGCUCCCGACUCGGAAAUGAUCUGGGACGUCGGGGUAAACUGCGGCGCGCGAGUUCUCAUGCACCACCGCGCGCACACACAUUUCCCGGUCGCGUACUACCGCGUGGAGAUCGAGCGCGUCAAGAAGAACGUGGACCCCGGGAAGCCCUUGGACGAAAAGUAUCGCGCCCUGUUGCGACGGCACCUUGACCCCGCCCACCGUCCCACCGGCCCCCUCAAUCCCCUCGGGCACCUCCUAUGCCGCGCCGUGACCUUUCUAGCACAACCGGGAAUGUCCCGCCUCUCUGCCGGGAUCUCCCUCUUCAUCCCGACCCUGGGCCCGUCCUUCCCGGAUGUGGCGCGCUGGAUGAACACUUACACUCGCGAUUACCAGUACGUGUGUCGGGGACGCACCGCCUGGCCGGAUAUUCGGGCGCUGUUGGACGCCGGGGAGCCGGUGAUCGCGCAGGUGUGCUGGAAUGAGCUGCCCAUGGCGGAGUCGGUGCGACAGAUCGUCGCGUUGGCCGGGUACGGGGAGCGGUGCCCGACGACUUUUCCCAAUAUGUGCGCGGUGGUGCUGCGCGGGUACGACGGGGCCGGGACGGCGGGGGAGCCAAGGACGGUGACCUUUACGCAUCCCUUCGGGGAUUCGCGGGUGGUGCGCUAUGCGGAUUUCAAGCAGUAUGCGAACUGGGUGUCGGCGCACCCGAUCACGAAGGAGGUGCUGGAGUUGUCCGGCUAUGAACCGGCGCAGAUUAUCCACCGUGUACAACGCGGGAUGAAUGGGUCAAACUGAAAAAGUGCGGAUUUUUAUAUGCAAGAUGUUCCGACAGGAUGUGAACAGAAAAGCGCUUGUUUGCGCGCGGACUGAAAUUAAACUGAACAUUGGAGGUGAAUCUGGAAAACCUUCACUGUGGUCCGUCAAAAGACAAGUAAAGAAAUGAUGCCAGGGUAAUUCCCUUCCACCAUCAUCUACAUCAUGGUGGUGGGGAUGCAGGCCGAUCCACAAGCCAACGGACAGCACUUCUGCCCAGUCGAGCACUGACUAUCAGCGAAGCACUGCUGAAUACACGGUCCCAGGAUGAAGGGCAUCCCGGCGGCCGGCGCCUGCAGAUCCGGUUUGGGCGGGCAGUGGACGGGCCGUUGCGCCGCUGGCCAAGCCGUCGUCCAGUUGCCGCUGUUGGAUGUGGCGUUGGUACCAGCUAACCCUGUAACGAAAGGUCUUCAGUGUUCCUACCGGCACAACCGGCACAUUUUCCUACCAGGAUACCGGCAUAACUUGUACACGUGGAAAGGCUCGUUUAAAGGGAAGUGACCCGGUACAUGGCUCCAAACUUGUGUACA